UACAUAGGGUGCGAGCGUUAAUCGGAAUUACUGGGCGUAAAGCGUGCGCAGGCGGUUGUGUAAGACAGAUGUGAAAUCCCCGGGCUCAACCUGGGAACUGCAUUUGUGACUGCACAGCUGGAGUGCGGCAGAGGGGGAUGGAAUUCCGCGUGUAGCAGUGAAAUGCGUAGAUAUGCGGAGGAACACCGAUGGCGAAGGCAAUCCCCUGGGCCUGCACUGACGCUCAUGCACGAAAGCGUGGGGAGCAAACAGG
rnacentral:rRNA from 1 species